rnacentral:rRNA from 1 species
GGGAUAACUACUCGAAAGAGUGGCUAAUACCGCAUACGCCCUACGGGGGAAAGGGGGGGAUCGCAAGACCUCUCACUAUUGGAGCGGCCGAUAUCGGAUUAGCUAGUUGGUGGGGUAAAGGCUCACCAAGGCAACGAUCCGUAGCUGGUUUGAGAGGACGACCAGCCACACUGGGACUGAGACACGGCCCAGACUCCUACGGGAGGCAGCAGUGGGGAAUUUUGGACAAUGGGGGAAACCCUGAUCCAGCCAUCCCGCGUGUAUGAUGAAGGCCUUCGGGUUGUAAAGUACUUUUGGCAGAGAAGAAAAGGUAUCCCCUAAUACGGGAUACUGCUGACGGUAUCUGCAGAAUAAGCACCGGCUAACUACGUGCCAGCAGCCGCGGUAAUACGUAGGGUGCAAGCGUUAAUCGGAAUUACUGGGCGUAAAGCGUGUGUAGGCGGUUCGGAAAG